rnacentral:tRNA from 4 species
GUGCUUGUAGCUCAGCUGGAUAGAGUGACUGGCUACGAACCAGUAGGUCGGGGGUUCGAAUCCCUCCAGGCACGCCA